AUGAUCAUCGAGAGCGAGCAGGAAGAGACAGUGUUUGACACUGAAUCAUACUACAGGCAGGGUCCUCUAGCCGAAGUUGAUCACCAUCUACCGGCAACAAGGACUGCCUACCUCAGUAUGCGUCAGGAGAUCCGAGACCCACAUGUGCAUCAUCAACUGCGGCAGGAUCUGGUGGAGCAUCUAUGGAGGAUCAAGGGCGACGCCUAG
rnacentral:rRNA from 1 species